GAAAGAAAGAAAGAAAGAAAGAAAGAAAGAAAGAAAAAGAGAAAGAGAGAGAAAGAAGAUUCUGCAAUUUUCGCUGCAGUCAGUUCCACUUAUUUCAAAGCUUUAAAAGAAAAAUAAAAAGGGAAGAAGUUAGGUCUUUGCUGAUGAAUUUACAGUCCAUGUUUGCCCGCCCUUUUUUUUUUUUUUUUUUUUUUUUUUAUUAGUUACUGAAAGGAAUUUCUGUUUUUUCUUCUGAUGCUAUUACAUAAAUUGCUUUUCACCCCCGGUGCAUCACCUAUGCCAGCUCUCAGUUCUCUGCCGUGCUGGCAGUUUCACGCGGGCGCCGGCGCCGUGCCCGGCUCCAGGCGGCGGCGGCGCUGCCGGGCGCGGGCGCUGGGUGUCACUGCAGCACCGCGAGGCGGCGCGGCGCAGCCCGCGCCCAGCGCCCUCCCCGGCCCCCGCCUCCGCGGCCAGACGCCGCCAGAAUGGGGUCCGAGAUGCCGCCGCUGCCUGCAAGUAACGGGGAGGUGCGAGUGUGUCUUUCUCGCUUGGAAUUGAUGAAUUCCAGGACGUGGAAAAAUGGCAACAAAACCAGCCUUGCUGUAGCAAGAAUCUGUGCGAUUACAAUUGUAAGAUACCGGGGUGUUAGGUCCCGAAGUCUUUUACAGAGCUUGCUCAGUGAAGAAAAGGAUUGGAAAGGACUUGAACCUUGGGACAGUGCAUGGUCUAUGAGCAUCCUCCAGAAAUUCCAAUAUAUGGAAAGCACACCCUGAUGCAUUAAAUGGAAAGGCUCUGAAAAUGAGACAGAUCCCACAGUGACGAGUACUGGUACUAGCAGUCAGAAAGAGGCAAAUAAGUAAUUUGGUUAGUUUACAGAAUCCUGAAGAGAGAUAUACAGAAAAAGGCAUCUUGGAACAGGACCAUAAUGAAGGCAUUGGCACGGAACCCAGCACCUUCAAUCCGCAACAACAUCCCGAACAAAGCCUAUGACAACAGAGGAUUUGAAGAUGAACAUCCAGUAUAAACUCUGAAGCCUAAUAGACUGUAUUAAGUGAAAGCAUUUACACUUAGUAUAUUAGAGUGAAAAUACUUUCAAAGGGGGGAAUGUUGGUGGAAGGUUAAAAAAAUAAUUUCUGUAUAAGUUAACCACGGGGUUAAGUUGAGGUAUGUAUGGGGGGGAGGAAAGGUAGAGAACGUACAACUGGAACUUGAAGCAGCUCAGCUUUGGAACAAGCGUCAGCUUCUGCAACCAGCUCCAUGCCAUUGUAAUGACCGAAUCAAGUGUGACUGCAACUCAGGGGAUAAUUGAGAAGCAUUGUUUUAACCAAAUCAAGUGUGGAUCAGGGUAGAAGCGUAGGUAUGAUUUAAGAUAGUAACUAAGGAAUAGGAUGAUCAGUAUCUAGGGGUGGGGGUUAGUUAACAUGUGUAUAAUUUAAACUAUAAAAAUCACAAAUCGACUCUGUAUUCCUCGGACACCAGAUUUGGGUGUAUCAUCACCCCUGUGUCCCGCGCGCUGGAAUAAAGA